rnacentral:rRNA from 1 species
AUUAGUGGCGAACGGGUGAGUAACACGUGAGUAACCUGCCCUUGACUCUGGGAUAAGCACUGGAAACGGUGUCUAAUACCGGAUACGAACUUCAGCCGCAUGGCUAGGAGUUGGAAAGAAUUUCGGUCAAGGAUGGACUCGCGGCCUAUCAGCUAGUUGGUGAGGUAAUGGCCCACCAAGGCGACGACGGGUAGCCGGCCUGAGAGGGUGACCGGCCACACUGGGACUGAGACACGGCCCAGACUCCUACGGGAGGCAGCAGUGGGGAAUAUUGCACAAUGGGCGCAAGCCUGAUGCAGCAACGCCGCGUGAGGGACGACGGCCUUCUGGUUGUAAACCUCUUUUAGUAGGGAAGAAGCGAAGUGUUUUACAUGGAGUGACGGUACCUGCAGAAAAAGCACCGGCUAACUACGUGCCAGCAGCCGCGGUAAUACGUAGGGUGCAAGCGUUAUCCGGAAUUAUUGGGCGUAAAGAGCUCGUAGGCGG